GUUUGCACUUGUCGGGGAAGGGUGAGAACCUUCGAUUAAGGUUCGACUCGAGCGAAAGAACGUUGCCAACGGUAACAGCCCGUAGGGUGAGGAGUGAAGCGACGAAUAAUCCUUCCUCCACCACCA
rnacentral:sRNA from 1 species